UUUAAUUGGUUGAGCUCAGAUGUGUUUUGCACAGGCUAAUGCAACACAGCUCGAGACCAAUCAGCGCACGCGUUCAUUGUGUUUAGUUACAUAUUACAUCCAAACAGCGACUCGUUUUGAUUUACAUAAAAGAUGAAUUUUAAUACUGAAUUGAGUUUGUCAAUUUUUCGCUUAUCAACUAUGUCACUACAUGUUGUGAUCUUUAAUAAAAUAAAUCAAACAUUUCACUAGUUCUUCAACGCGGCUUUAAUCACAUCAGGUGCCAGUCUCAUUUCAUAUGCCAGUGGUCUUUUCAUGACAAUAUUGUGAAUGGCGUUUGUUCUCAGUUCGUACAAACGUUCUAGUAAGAAUCCUGGUAGACAUUCAGUUUUGUGAACGUCUUCUUCCUAGUUGUUAUAUACAAUUAUUAUUACCUACAAAUGUGGAAAACUGCAACUUUGUUGAAUUUUGAAUGUAAAUCUGCUUAAUGUAAAAAGUGGUGCAUAACUUGAAUAAAUACAUGCAAGAUAUGUUGUUUGUGCUUAUGUACACAUAAAUGAA